rnacentral:rRNA from 1 species
AUGGGGCUCUCUUCGAGCAUCUCCAUGUUCUUUUUUUACCGCAGUUAUGUUGCAGUCAAAGAUACUGAGAACAUGGACUGGAUGACCCAACUUCAAAUGGCGAUGGGGAUAGCUUACUGUCGAGAGAACAUGCUUAAGCUGAAUCUACCUGCUAGGCCAAGGAACCUCAUCUCAACAGUUAUGUUGCAACGGUGUCAGAUCUUGAUGUCUGGAAUGGCACCAAGGGAUCUGAUUCUGUCACUGAUGAUUGCAUCAUGCUAUAUUUCAUUGUGCAUCAGGAUGGCAUCAUGCUUAAGUUGA